GACGAACGCUGGCGGCGUGCUUAACACAUGCAAGUCGAACGGAAAGGCCCUGCUUUUGUGGGGUGCUCGAGUGGCGAACGGGUGAGUAACACGUGAGUAACCUGCCCUUGACUUUGGGAUAACUUCAGGAAACUGGGGCUAAUACCGGAUAGGAGCUCCUGCUGCAUGGUGGGGGUUGGAAAGUUUCGGCGGUUGGGGAUGGACUCGCGGCUUAUCAGCUUGUUGGUGGGGUAGUGGCUUACCAAGGCUUUGACGGGUAGCCGGCCUGAGAGGGUGACCGGGCAAUGUGGGGGAGAAGAACGGCCCAGGACCCCGAGGGGGGGCAGCGGGGGGGAAUUUGGAAAAAGGGGGGGAGGCUGGAGGCAGCACCCCCGGGUGGGGGAGGCGGGCUUUGGGUUGUAAACCCUUUUUCGCCGGGGAGGAAGGGGGGGGGAGGGAAAGGGAUAAAAAGCCCCGGUCAACCCAGGCC
rnacentral:rRNA from 1 species